UUCAGGUUUUGUAAAUUAAUGUGUGAAUGAGAUGAAUGCGAAAUCUAUUAUUUUUCUUUACUUUCUUGCAGUUGAUUACUCGAAGUCAUCUGGGCGUGAUCCUCACAAUCGCUUUCGUCGAUCAGGAUCGGCGGCCGAGACGCACACCACCGACCAGACAAUCCCUUAGCUGGGCGUGAUCCUCACGAUCGCUUUCGUCGAUCAGGAUCGGCGGCCGAGACGCACACCACCGACCAGACAAUCCCUUAGCUGGGCGUGAUCCUCACGAUCGCUUUCGUCGAUCAGGAUCGGCGGCCGAGACGCACACCACCGACCAGACAAUCCCUUAACUGGGCGUGAUCCUCACGAUCGCUUUCGUCGAUUAAGAAUGGCGGCACACAGAAGAACAAGACGCACACCGCCAACCAAACGUCAUCUUCAGUUGAUUACUCGAAGUCAUCUGGGCGUGAUCCCCACGAUCGCUUUCGUCGAACAGGAUCGACGGCCGAGACGCACACCACCGACCAGACAAUCCCUUAGCGGGGCGUGAUCCUCACGAUCGCUUUCGUCGAACAGGAUCGACGGCCGAGACGCACACCACCGACCAGACAAUCCCUUAGCGGGGUGUGAUCAUCACGAUCUUCAGGUUUUGUAAAUUAAUGUGUGAAUGAGAUGAAUGCGAAAUCUAUUAUUUUUCUUUACUUUCUUGCAGUUGAUUACUCGAAGUCAUCUGGGCGUGAUCCUCACGAUUGCUUUCGUCGAACAGGAUCGACGGCCGAGACGCACACCACCGACCAGACAAUCCCUUAGCGGGGCGUGAUCAUCACGAUCUUCAGGUUUUGUAAAUUAAUGUGUGAAUGAGAUGAAUGCGAAAUCUAUUAUUUUUCUUUACUUUCUUGCAGUUGAUUACUCGAAGUCAUCUGGGCGUGAUCCUCACGAUUGCUUUCGUCGAACAGGAUCGACGGCCGAGACGCACACCACCGACCAGACAAUCCCUUAGCGGGACGUGAUCCUCACGAUCGCUUUCGUCGAUUAAGAAUGGCGGCACACAGAAGAACAAGACGCACACCGCCAACCAAACGUCAUCUUCAGUUGAUUACUCGAAGUCAUCUGGGCGUGAUCCCCACGAUCGCUUUCGUCGAACAGGAUCGACGGCCGAGACGCACACCACCGACCAGACAAUCCCUUAGCGGGGCGUGAUCCUCACGAUCGCUUUCGUCGAACAGGAUCGACGGCCGAGACGCACACCACCGACCAGACAAUCCCUUAGCGGGGCGUGAUCAUCACGAUCUUCAGGUUUUGUAAAUUAAUGUGUGAAUGAGAUGAAUGCGAAAUCUAUUAUUUUUCUUUACUUUCUUGCAGUUGAUUACUCGAAGUCAUCUGGGCGUGAUCCUCACGAUUGCUUUCGUCGAACAGGAUCGACGGCCGAGACGCACACCACCGACCAGACAAUCUCUUA